rnacentral:rRNA from 1 species
UUGACCUCGGAUCAGGGUGGGGAUACCCGCUGAACUUAAGCAUAUCAAUAA